AGUAGGGAAUCUUCCGCAAUGGACGAAAGUCUGACGGAGCAACGCCGCGUGAGCGAUGAAGGCCUUCGGGUCGUAAAGCUCUGUUGUUAGGGAAGAACAAGUACCGGAGUAACUGCCGGUACCUUGACGGUACCUAACCAGAAAGCCACGGCUAACUACGUGCCAGCAGCCGCGGUAAUACGUAGGUGGCAAGCGUUGUCCGGAAUUAUUGGGCGUAAAGCGCGCGCAGGCGGUCCUUUAAGUCUGAUGUGAAAGCCCACGGCUCAACCGUGGAGGGUCAUUGGAAACUGGGGGACUUGAGUGCAGAAGAGGAGAGUGGAAUUCCACGUGUAGCGGUGAAAUGCGUAGAGAUGUGGAGGAACACCAGUGGCGAAGGCGACUCUCUGGUCUGUAACUGACGCUGAGGCGCGAAAGCGUGGGGAGCGAACAGGAUUAGAUACCCUGGUAGUCCACGCCGUAAACGAUGAGUGCUAAGUGUUAGAGGGUUUCCGCCCUUUAGUGCUGCAGCAAACGCAUUAAGCACUCCGCCUGGGGAGUACGGCCGCAAGGCUG
rnacentral:rRNA from 1 species